rnacentral:lncRNA from 1 species
AUGCUUCUGUACAUCGUUUCUUUGAUUCAUUUGAUAUUUGAACGUGAUCAGUUACAGUCGUUGGACUCCGUGGAAUCAAAUCUCUGUCAUUUGAAAACGUUUUUUAAAGACUUAACCCAUUCAAGAGCAAUGCAAGGACCAGAACUUGUUGACUCGAGGAGUCGUUUUCGAUUUAUUGAAUCCUGUCUCGGCUUGAUGGGCUGUUUGUGUAUCAACUAUGCGAUCUGGACAUCUCGGUGGCUGGAUGACCGGGGUCUGUGGACCUCACGGAAUGAGACCAGACUGGAUGACAGCCGGACCACUGAAGACAUUGCUAAAGGUGUGUGUUGUGUGGCUGCUAUUCUCAUGUAUCUUAGGGAGUAAAAGCUUUUUGUCAUUGCUUAGUAUUGUUCAAAAUGUUUGGUUAAAAGAUAGUAUAAUAUACUAUAUUAUAUUAUAUUUUGUGGUGUUAAAUUGUAACAUAUACUACAAUUGGGUCACCUUACAUGUUAAACAUUAAGUUAAAAAGUUUUUUUAGUGGUUUAUUUUUUUUGUGGUCAUGUCUUAUCUUGUCUAGGGAAAGAAGUGAAUCAUGACUGGUACUAGUACCCCCUCAAAAAACUGUAUGCAUACGCCUCCGGAGCUGUUUGACUUGGUUUUGACCUGUCAUGUGGGCGACAGCAAUAUUUUAGUAGCCCACGUGUGGCCCUCAUUAAUUUUAUAAAACUGCUUUGGAUCUUAAAAACUUGGCUUUUAUAAAAGAUGCAUAAUUGAAAAACAGUAAAAAGCCCAAUUAAAUGCAUUUCUAUUGUGUGUUUCACUUUUCAGGCCUUUAUAAGAUUUGUUUUUUGGAGUAUUAAAAUAAAUAGCCAGAAGGUGUGAUGGGAACUGAAAGCAUUAGAGCAUAUCGUGGCAUGUUUGCAAGUUUUGACCUGCCGAGAAGCACAGAGCAGUCAAAUGAGAGAGAAUUUCUCUGAAAAAUUCUCCUGAAUUUCCAACGUUGGCGUAAAAUAAUGAUAUGGUUUUGUGUUGAAGGGGUUUCUACGCUUCGGUGGGCUGCAGCAGACAGGCUAUGACACGCUGGACUUGCUUUACUCGCAUGUUUUAUUACUUGUAGCCUGUCUGGUUUUCCCCUCAGUUUAGUUCUUCCUCAGAACAAGACAAAUGAAGAAUGAUAUAAAUAAUGAAGGAUGAAGUAAUGACUGAUCAGUUCAGUUUUAAAUAGUUUCAUGAUGAGAUGUUGUUCUUCAAGAGCACUCAAACUGAAAUUUGAUGUCAGUUGGUUUUAUGUUAGACUAUUACGUUAAAGGGACUAGUUCACAAACAUCAGUAUUAAAGGAGUGUCUGUCCCUGUCUGCUUUCCACAGCUCUGGAGGCUGAAAAAGUGUUUGCAGCAGUGGCUUUCCUGAUGUCUGUGAGCGCUGGACUGCUGUGUCUCAUGUUUGCCCUCUGCUGGACGUCUCAAACGGUGCGUUCCUACUCAAACACUCGCUCGCUGCUGAUGGCAGGCCAGGCACUCGACCCGACCACCCUGCUGCUGUUCACACUAGUACCUACAGGUCAGUACCUCGUUACUUAGCUUUCCUUAGCCAAGUAACAUGCACAUGUUUUAACCUUCUCCAUUUUUUUCUUCUUACCAACAGGUUUUUUCUUUUUUCUCAGCUGGGCGCUUUUUACCCAUCAAUAUAUUGGUGAGAUAAGGGAUGAUGUCAGUCGACUCGGCCCAUCCUAUUGGCUGGGAGUGGUGGGUUGGGCUUCUCUAUUGGCCGUGCUGCCUGUGGUCUUCCUGGCAGAGAAGUUUGUGGUUCCCGACAUCCUGCCGGAGUUAAAAAAUGCUGCCCAAAUGUGGUGGAAGGCUCCGGAGGCUGCACACACGCGGUCGUUAAGUGAGGGUUGCCAUCGUUCACAGCAUAAGACUCAUCCUGACUUUAGGAGGUAUUUGUCAGUGCCUUGAACGAGAGGAAGAAGGUAGCAAGGAAAUACAGAGAAGAGACUCUGGUCUCGCUUGUCUUCUAGCCAUAUAUAUGAGCUGAGCAUAUCCCUCACAACAGGGGUCAAGGACCUGGAUGAGAAACCUGUAACUGCUCUCUGCGAUGUGACACACAAAGCUACAGGUUAUAAGGUUCAGUGCUGGCUUUGACAGUGGCUUCACAGAUGUAUUUGGACGAGGAUGCCCAAAUAUCAGAGUUCACUAUCUAAAUGUAAAACAUAAAGCUGAAAGGAUCUUGAAGUUGCAAAGAGGCUAUUUCUCUAGAACUUUUAAUAGUCGUUGCCUGCAGAUGUUAUUGUGUAAAUUAUACAGUGACUUUCAGGGAUGUAGACUUAAAUAUGCUAAAUUAUUAACUGAAAUAACAACAAAAAACACUAAAGUAGUUUAUAUCUGAUUGGUAAAUCUAUAAUAAAAUUACUAAGAAUGGCAAUAGGCAGUACUUAAGAAAUGCUACAAAUGCAAUCAUUAGUGGCAUAUUUAAAAAAUGAAAAUAUACGUUUUUUUUAAAAAAAGUUAUUGAAACAGUUUGAAACAUACUUGUUCUUGCAUAGAAAAAUGAUUCAUUUCUAAGAUCCACUUGACCUUUCCCCUUAUUCCCACUGCCAAAAGCGGUGAUCAUUUAAUUCCAGAUUUUUCUGCUUGUUCUCAAUUUUGUAGACAAUACUGAUUCAAAUAGUCAGAGCACUUUUCUACUGCUAACACUUAAUGUAAUAGGGACUUCCAGGUGCUAAUGCAGAAUUCAACACUACUAGAUAGUGCUGCAGUUGUUUUUUUGUUUUUUAUCUGUCUUUUUUUAAGUGCAAACAGUGCUCUCUACUGGCGAUAGUCCAAAGAGCAUCAUGUUCUAUCCUGUAUUUUUAAAGCUAUUUAACAAUACUUUUUGUACUGUUUUAAACCAAUAAAUGAAAUGGUUUUCAUAUAAAGUUGAGUCCAUAUCUAUCUAUCUAUCUAUCUAUCUAUCUAUCUAUCUAUCUAUCUAUCUAUCUAUCUAUCUAUCUAUCUAUCUAUCUAUCUAUCUUUAGAUAGAUAUCUAUUUAUGAUAGAUUACUAUUUUUUAGUUUUGUUUUUCAUUGUUAAUUUUUAACUUUCUAGUAAUUUUUGUGUUUUCUUCAUUUUAUUAAAUAUAUAACUAAAUACUUGUAUAGAUCCCACCCAAGAUGAGAUGAAUGAACUGGCUGUGUUAAUUGUGCAUUAAUCAGGUGCGGGUCUAAUUAAAAGGCAGUUCCGUCCUUUUAGCAGUGCCUAAUGAGUUUGUUAUUAAAUCCACAGAGAACUGUUUUUUUUUAUUUACUAUCAGGAAAGCACUUAAUUGGCCCCUCAGAACAGAACUUGAGUGUCCUUGAAGGUUGUGACGGUGGGGAGCUUGAGA